rnacentral:rRNA from 1 species
AACGAACGCUGGCGGCAUGCCUAACACAUGCAAGUCGAACGAGACCUUCGGGUCUAGUGGCGCACGGGUGCGUAACACGUGGGAAUUUGCCUCGGGGUAUGGAAUAACUCAGGGAAACUUGAGCUAAUACCAUAUAAUGUCUUCGGACCAAAAGAUUUAUCGCCCUGAGAUAAGCCCGCGUAGGAUUAGCUAGUUGGUGGGGUAAAGGCUCACCAAGGCGACGAUCCGUUAGCUGGUCUGAGAGGAUGAUCAGCCACACUGGGACUGAGACACGGCCCAGACUCCUACGGGAGGCAGCAGUGGGGAAUAUUGGACAAUGGGCGAAAGCCUGAUCCAGCAAUGCCGCGUGAGUGAUGAAGGCCUUAGGGUUGUAAAGCUCUUUACCCGAGAUGAUAAUGACAGUAUCGGAGAAUAAGCUCCGGCUAACUCCGUGCCAGCAGCCGCGGU